rnacentral:rRNA from 1 species
GUCCACACUGUAAACGAUGAUUACUCGCUGCUAGGGGGCAACCUUUAGUGGCUUAGCGAAAGCGAUAAGUAAUCCACCUGGGGAGUACGCCGGCAACGGUGAAACUCAAAGGAAUUGACGGGUGCCCCGCACAAGCGGAGGAGCAUGUGGUUUAAUUCGAUGAUACGCGAGGAACCUUACCAGGGCUUGAAAGCUAGGGAAUAACUCUGAAAGGAGUUAGUCAGCAAUGACCCGAAACUAGGUGCUGCAUGGCUGUCGU